GGGUUGUGAGGUUAAGCGACUAAGCGUACACGGUGGAUGCCCUGGCAGUCAGAGGCGAUGAAGGACGUGCUAAUCUGCGAUAAGCGUCGGUGAGGUGAUAUGAACCGUUAUAACCGGCGAUUUCCGAAUGGGGAAACCCAGUGUGUUUCGACACACUAUCAUUAACUGAAUCCAUAGGUUAAUGAGGCGAACCGGGGGAACUGAAACAUCUAAGUACCCCGAGGAAAAGAAAUCAACCGAGAUUCCCCCAGUAGCGGCGAGCGAACGGGGAGGAGCCCAGAGCCUGAAUCAGUGUGUGUGUUAGUGGAAGCGUCUGGAAAGGCGCGCGAUACRGGGUGMCAGCCCCGUACACAAAAAUGCACAUCAUGUGAGCUCGAUGAGUAGGGCGGGACACGUAGUAUCCUGUCAGAAUAUGGGGGGACCAUCCUCCAAGGCUAAAUACUCCUGACUGACCGAUAGUGAACSAGUACCGUGAGGGAAAGGCGAAAAGAACCCCGGCGRGGGGAGUGAAAAAGAACCUGAAACCGUGUACGUACAAGCAGUGGGAGCCUCUUUAUGGGGUGACUGCGUAYCUUUUGUAUAAUGGGUCAGCGACUUAUAUUCUGUAGCAAGGUUAACCGAAUAGGGGAGCCGAAGGGAAACCGAGUCUUAACUGGGCGUUAAGUUGCAGGGUAUAGACCCGAAACCCGGUGAUCUAGCCAUGGGCAGGUUGAAGGUUGGGUAACACUAACUGGAGGACCGAACCGACUACUGUUGAAAAAUUAGCGGAUGACUUGUGGCUGG
rnacentral:rRNA from 1 species